rnacentral:lncRNA from 1 species
AUUUACUGAUGAACUAACGAAAAAAUAUGAUAUUAAAUGUUUAUUUCAUUUUCUAGUUGUUGUUUUUUCUUUCAUAAAAGCAAGCAACUUGGGAAUUCGAUUUAACAAACAUAGAGACACUUAGAUUUUUGGCGGAGUUAAUUUGUUAUAUAGUGGUUUUAUUAGUAUCAUCACUGCAAUGUUAUUGUAUGAGAUGAAGACGAAAAAAAUGUAAUUCAGCAUUUUUAAAAUUAUGCAAUACACAAAAUAACAUUAGAAAUGUGUAAUUAAUUAGCACUUGGAAGCGCCUAUCAUUUAAGGUCCGAUUGUUUAUUUAUACUUUCGGGGUAUUUUUUCACUAUGCGCAUGCAGUUUGAGCUACUUUGAUACUGAGCUCUCACCAGACUAAUGUCGUUUUUUUUUUUUUUUUUUUUUUUUUUUAUGACAGAAACAGACGUAACAAUCAAA